rnacentral:rRNA from 1 species
GUCGAGCGACAGAAAGGAGCUUGCUCCUUUGACGUUAGCGGCGGACGGGUGAGAAACACGUGGGCAACCUACCCUAUAGUUUGGGAUAACUCCGGGAAACCGGGGCUAAUACCGAAUAAUCUCUUUUACUUCAUGGUGAAAGACUGAAAGACGGUUUCGGCUGUCGCUAUAGGAUGGGCCCGCGGCGCAUUAGCUAGUUGGUGAGGUAACGGCUCACCAAGGCGACGAUGCGUAGCCGACCUGAGAGGGUGAUCGGCCACACUGGGACUGAGACACGGCCCAGACUCCUACGGGAGGCAGCAGUAGGGAAUCUUCCACAAUGGGCGAAAGCCUGAUGGAGCAACGCCGCGUGAGUGAAGAAGGUUUUCGGAUCGUAAAACUCUGUUGUAAGGGAAGAACAAGUACAGUAGUAACUGGCUGUACCUUGACGGUACCUUAUUAGAAAG